AUCGCGCAAAACUCGGCAAGUAACGAUUCUUGAGUUGUCGAGGCAGAAUAGGAACUACAACCUCGUUUACGGCUGGCUCAUAUUCAGAGGCUGGAAUAAAGCAAUAAGGAAGGAAAGUUUCGAAGGGCGAGCCAACCGAUCGAUCGGAUUCAGGAAAUUUCACGAGAGAAAGCCAAACGACAAUAGGAAAUAGAACAUAAACGAGAAAGGAAGACAAAGGGAGAGAAAUACUAAGCGUAAACAGAGUCCGAGAUAUCAAAGGAAGAAUGAACAAUGGACAUCAAGUUAGUCAACAAUUAGUUCCGUUUUGUGAUCGCAUUCUAUAUUUAACGUCCGCCCGCGAAUCGGUGUGGAACAAAAGGACAGAAAACUCAUAAAUAAUAUUGCGUCCCACAAUAUUUCGCGCAAAGCCACACAAAACCGUAUUGUGCAACGGAAUCUCAGUGUUGGUGUAUAAUGAUAAACGCUGCUUAAUCUCUUGUUGGCAUUCCGUUGGCAAUGAGAUAAAUCUUAUAAGAAAUUAUUUGAAUAUAAAAUGUUUAUGUAUUAUUAUUUUUAAUCUG